UGUGUCGCAAAGAGUCGGACACGACUGAGUGACUUCACUUUCACUUUCAAACUGUUUAAUAUAGGUAGAUAUGCAUUCUUCAUGCAAAUAUCUUUAAGGGUAGAGACCCCAGAUGCUUUCUCUUGAAAGCAUCUUGACAAUACCAAGCUGUAUUCAAAUGAUUCUAUUUUAAUUUUAAUUUUUGUCUCCCUAUUAGUUUAUGACCCAGGACAGUUGUAUCAGAACUACUGCCUUUAAAAAUACUCUUCAGUAUUUCCAUUUCUUAUCUAAAUUUAGUUUAUCACAUUUAAGUCUUUCCUCUAGAAAUUAUAUGAUAGAGAUGACACUCAUUUCUAUUUCUUUCCUUUUUUUCCCUCUCUUCAUUUUCUCUGUUCCUUUUUUAGUAUCCUUUUAGAGUAAAAACCUACACUGUACAUAGUAUUUUUAAAAGUAUGCUAUAAAUAGCAUUCAAUUCACUUUGAUUUCAUUUUGAACGCUAAACUGUAAGUAUGAAAUGCUGGGCCUCUAGUCACAGGUGAGAGAUCAGCACAGGAAAGGGAGAAGGGCAAAGGUCAUGGAAUCUGAGACCUGACAUUGGCCUUCAGCUCUACCUUAAAAAUAGAUCACUGAACUGCAAGAUAAUUAUCAUCCUGAGACUCAGUUUUCUCCACUGUUAAUAUGUGAAUGAUAAUAUUGACCCAGCAGCACUGUUCAGGAGCUUAAAUUAGGUUCAUAAAUGAAAGAUGCCUGGUAGAAAAUAAGUUAUUAUUAAACAGCGUGAUUGGGUAGGGGAAAAAGAAUUGGGAUGAGGACUAAAAAUCAUAAAGUUUAUUGCUCUAAUCUUUGCAACUCAAGUGAAGAAAAACUAUUGCUUCUAAAAAAGCAAGUUUUGGGGCAAGCUUUCUGGAAGUAUACUAAGCACAAUGUUAACGGGAGCUUUCUCUGGGUAAUGAUAUUAUUAAAAAUUUGCAUUGUUUACCUAAUAUUCCUCCAAAUUAUUGGAAUAUACUGUGAUAGGUAUGUAUCACUUUUGAAACUAGAAAAAAACUGCAUUUAA
rnacentral:lncRNA from 1 species